ACGAAGUAGCAAUACUUAGUGGCAGACGGGUGAGUAACAUGUAGGUAUCUGCCCGUUGGCCUGGAAUAACACGAGGAAACUUGUGCUAAUACCGGAUAAGUCUUUACGGAGAAAGCUUUAUGCACCAUUGGAUGAGCCUGCACUUGAUUAGUUUGUUGGUGGGGUAAUGGCCUACCAAGACUGUGAUCAAUAGCUGAUUUGAGAGGAUGAUCAGCCACAUUGGGACUGAGACACGGCCCAAACUCCUACGGGAGGCAGCAGUGGGGAAUCUUGCACAAUGGAGGAAACUCUGAUGCAGCGAUGCCGCGUGAGUGAAGAAGGCCCUUGGGUUGUAAAGCUCUUUCGUCGGGGAAGAAAAUGACUGUACCCGAAUAAGAAGGUCCGGCUAACUUCGUGCCAGCAGCCGCGGUAAUACGAAGGGACCUAGCGUAGUUCGGAAUUACUGGGCUUAAAGAGUUCGUAGGUGGUUGAAAUAGUUGGUGGUGAAAUCCCAGAGCUUAACUCUGGAACUGCCAUCAAAACUUUUCAGCUAGAGUAUGAUAGAGGAAAGCAGAAUUUCUAGUGUAGAGGUGAAAUUCGUAGAUAUUAGAAAGAAUACCAAUUGCGAAGGCAGCUUUCUGGAUCAUUACUGACACUGAGGAACGAAAGCAUGGGUAGCGAAGAGGAUUAGAUACCCUCGUAGUCCAUGCCGUAAACGAUGUGUGUUAGACGUUGGAAAUUUAUUUUCAGUGUCGCAGGGAAACCGAUAAACACACCGCCUGGGGAGUACGACCGCAAGGUUAAAACUCAAAUGAAUUGACGGGGACCCGCACAAGUAGUGGAGCAUGUGGUUUAAUUCGAAGAUACGCGCAGAACCUUACCAACACUUGACAUGUUCGUCGCGACUCUAAGAGAUUAGAGUUUUCGGUUCGGCCGGACGAAACACAGGUGCUGCAUGGCUGUCGUCAGCUCGUGUCGUGAGAUGUUGGGUUAAGUCCCGCAACGAGCGCAACCCUCACUUUUAGUUGCCAUCAUUAAGUUGGGCACUCUGAAAGAACUGCCAGUGAUAA
rnacentral:rRNA from 1 species